rnacentral:lncRNA from 1 species
AAACAAGGCAAGCAGCAGAGUCCUCUUCGCUGUACUGGGGCUUAUGGUAGAUCUCCAGUCCUAGAAGAGACCUAAGGAUGUGGGGACCGGGCAACCAAAUAGAGCCUAGGCAUAGGCCAAGGCACAGUCCUGUCCCAUGGACUUGCCCGACAUGGGUCCAGAGAGAGAAGAAGUAGCUAAGAGGUGUGAUCUAGGGGCCUGGAGCCACCUAGAAGCCUUUCCUAAGGACAGUAGCCCUGGGGCUUGGCAGGGAAGGAAACCCAGGGAGCCACAAGGGAACUCAGAGCUACAAGAUGAUCUUGGGACUGGAAGAGGUCCCUCAAAAGUCCACUUCAUGCUUGGGUUAGCCUGGGGACUGGGGCGGAUGUGAGCCUUCAUGGUGGGACCUGGGAGCCCAAAGCAAAGGAGUUUCAGUGUCUCUUCCUCUACGAACCCGUCCCCCUUGCUACCUCACUUCUGGCAGAGUGACUAUAUCUUCCCUAUGCCCCCAUGGUGUCUUAUAAACGCAUUUAUUAUGGCUCAAGGAAGACAAAGCAGGUAGGCCAUAGCUCCCAUCUUAGCAAUCUUACAUUGAGUCUUGACCACACAUUGAAAUGAGACACUCAUUUGUAUAGGCCCCCAAUUAGUAGCAGAGGUAUUUCAAAUCUCUUGUCAGAUAUGCCCAAAGGAACCAGCCUCCUUCUGUUUCUAUAUUCAGACUUUGUCUCUGGUGGCCUUUCUAUGGGGACUAAAGUAAAGGGCAGCAGGUCUUCCCAGCCUUGCUAGGAGGAAGGCUGUGGUCUCUUCUGGUGCCUUUGACCUCCUGGCUCCCACUGUGGACCUCAUGGCAAACUUGAGCAGAG